rnacentral:rRNA from 1 species
GCUCAGUAACACGUGGACAACGUACCCUAAAGUGGAGCAUAAUCUCGGGAAACUGAGGAUAAUUCUCCAUAGACCAUGAGAUCUGGAAUGACUUAUGGUUCAAAGUUCCGGCGCUUUAGGAUCGGUCUGCGGCCUAUCAGGUAGUAGUGGGUGUAACGUACCCCCUAGCCGUUGACGGGUAUGGGCCUUGAGAGAGGGAGCCCAGAGUUGGAUUCUGAGACACGAAUCCAGGCCCUACGGGGCGCAGCAGUCGCGAAAACUUCACAAUGGGCGAAAGCCCGAUGAGGGAAUUCCUAGUGCUAGCACUUUUGUGCUAGCUUUUCUUCAGCGUAGAUAACUGGAGGAAUAAGGGCUGGGUAAGACGGGUGCCAGCCGCCGCGGUAAUACCCGCAGCCCGAGUGGUGGUCGAUUUUAUUGAGUCUAAAACGUUCGUAGCCGGUCUAAUAAAUCCUUGGGUAAAUCGGAAGGCUUAACUUUCCGAAUUCCGAGGAGACUGUUAGGCUUGGGAUCGGGAGAGGUAAGAGGUACUUCAGGGGUAGGGGUAAAAUCCUGUAAUCCUUGGAGGACCACCGGUGGCGAAGGCGUCUUACUAGAACGAAUCCGACGGUGAGGGACGAAGCCCUAGGUCGCAAACGGGAUUAGAUACCCCGGUAGUCUAGGGUGUAAACGCUGCAGACUUGGUGUUGGGGGCCCUUCGGGGGCAUUCAGUGCCGGAGAGAAGUUGUUAAGUCUGCUACUUGGGGAGUACGUCCGCAAGGAUGAAACUUAAAGGAAUUGGCGGGGGAGCACCGCAACGGGAGGAGCGUGCGGUUUAAUUGGAUUCAACACCGGAAAACUCACCAAGGGAGACCAUCACAUGAAAGCCAGGCUAAUGACUUUGCUUGAUUCUUGGAGAAGUGG